UACGUAGGGGGCAAACGUUGUCCGGAUUUACUGGGUGUAAAGGGUGCUCAGGUGGUUCUGUAAGUCAGAGGUGAAAUUUCGGGGGCUCAACCCCGGACCGGCCUUUGAUACUGCAGAGCUUGUGUACGGAAGAGGUUGAUGGAAUUUCUGGUGUAGCAGUGAAAUGCGUAGAUAUCAGAAAGAACACCAGUGGCGAAGGCGGUCAACUGGUCCGGUACAGACACUAAAGCACGAAAGCAUGGGGGAGCAAACAGG
rnacentral:rRNA from 1 species